rnacentral:rRNA from 1 species
AUGCACGCUGGCGGCGUGCCUCAUACAUGCCAGUCGCGCGAACAGACGAGGAGCUUGCUCCUCUGACGUUAGCGGCGGACGGGUGAGUAACACGUGGAUAACCUACCUAUAAGACUGGGAUAACUUCGGGAAACCGGAGCUAAUACCGGAUAAUAUAUUGAACCGCAUGGUUCAAUAGUGAAAGACGGUUUUGCUGUCACUUAUAGAUGGAUCCGCGCCGCAUUAGCUAGUUGGUAAGGUAACGGCUUACCAAGGCAACGAUGCGUAGCCGACCUGAGAGGGUGAUCGGCCACACUGGAACUGAGACACGGUCCAGACUCCUACGGGAGGCAGCAGUAGGGAAUCUUCCGCAAUGGGCGAAAGCCUGACGGAGCAACGCCGCGUGAGUGGUGAAGGUCUUCGGAUCGUAAAACUCUGUUAUUAGGGAAGAACAAAUGUGUAAGUAACUAUGCACGUCUUGACGGUACCUAAUCAGAAAGCCACGGCUAACUACGUG